UCAAAAUUGUCUGCACACGGUUGACGUUUGUCACUUGAUGGGCAUUCCUGGACUGUGGCCAGCUCACGGUGACUUGGUGUUACUGUGCACAGUGUUGAAAGAGAUUAUAGAAGAGGGGGAAACUUGAGACGGUCACUAUGAGCUUUUACUCCAUACUUAACUGCUUAAUGGAACUAAAGUUCAACUGAUUUGUUUCAGUCCACCGUCUUUCACAGUGAUAUUCCUGU